rfam:Triticum aestivum genome assembly, contig: Triticum_aestivum_CS42_TGACv1_scaffold_474587_6AL
UAAGUACUCCCUCCGUCCGGAAAUACUUGUCAUCAAAAUGAAUCAAAAGGUAUGUAUGUAUUUUUUUCUAGAUACAUCCCUCUUUAUUUAUUUUGAUGACAAGUAUUUACGGACGGAGGGAGUAGGAG